GUCCUAGCCGUAAACGGUGCACGUUUGCUGUAAAAGGAUUCGACCCCUUUUGUGGCGUAGCUAACGCGUUAAACGUGCCGCCUGGGAAGUACGGUCGCAAGAUUAAAACUCAAAGAAAUUGACGGGGGCCUGCACAAGCGGUGGAGUAUGUGGCUCAAUUCGAUGCAACGCGAAGAACCUUACCUGGCCUUGACAUGUAUGUAGUAGAAGGGUGAAAGCCUGACGAGGUAGCAAUACCAGCAUACACAGGUGCUGCAUGGCUGUCGU
rnacentral:rRNA from 1 species